AUUUGGUUAAGGAAUAUGAAGGUAAGUUGAGCAGUUCAGAAUCAAAGCUGGAAAUGCAAAGAUCAUUACUUGCUGAGCAAUUGAAAUAUGUUACAAAAAUACACGAACAGAUUUAUAAUGCUGUUAAGGUUGUUGAUCCCAGAAAGGCAUCUGAGUUGUCGGAAUCCUUGUUUCUUGCUCAAGAGAUGGACAUGGAAGAGAAUAUAAGGGCAGUUUUAGCAGGAUUGGAAUCUAUAUAUGAAAUGAGUGAAUUUGUUCUGCAGAAAACAAGGGAUUUGCUAGAGGAGAAGAGCCAUGAAGUGAAACGCCUAAAUGAGUCUGUUUCUCAGUUAGUAAAAGAAAAAGAACAAAUUGGGUCUUUACUUAGAAGUGCUCUUUCAAAGAGAAUUUCAGUGGAUUUGUCAUCCAAAACAAAUGAAUUGUUUAAGAUA
rnacentral:misc_RNA from 1 species